UAUAACACACCCUCCCCUCCCUUUCCUCUUAUAAAUUUGAUGGAUUUUUCACCAUCAAACUUAAAAGCAUGAAGGCACUUAAAGGCAUGAAAGUAGCUUACCGUAGUCUUAUAACAUUUCUGUUAACUUGUAUCGCAAUCAAGUAUGGAGUCUCCAAGAUCAAUCCUCUCCAGGGACCAACCCUGUCGCUUCUCGUCACAGCUGUGUCUUCCCAUGUUAUAGCUUCCGCCACUGACAUGGACAAACCAAACACCAUCAUAACAUUUUAUUUGUCAGGGACAGUUGCAUGUGAAACACUCCUGUGGAUUCUCAUUGAUCAACUUUCCUUGUUCUGUCUCAUUAACUUCCUUCUUAUAGUAAUAGUCGAAUUCUUGUUCUUUCACCCCCUCACCAAGUUGCUCCUUCCCUACUUCAACUCCAUCACUCACCUGCUCUCUGGAACAUCUCCAAAUACAGAACCGCAACCGCAGGACUCCCAGGUAUUGAGGCACACCAACUACUAGUUUUACACCUGUUGGAUUGUCAAAUACGAUUUGUCCCUUUACUUUGGCCUCAAGUGUUCUACAUCACCCUAUCUUCCUCAGUAGGUCUUGUCUGGUUUCAUGGAAUUGUUUGAAUGACAAAGAAGGAAUGAUACCAUUGCCGCCUCUGCUUAUCACUCAUGCAUCCGUGUUGCUCUCUGCAGCUUAACAGUCGCUUCUCUUCGUCCUCAGGGAUUUGCAAGGAAUCGCAUGACAUCUAUUCUUUCAGUAAUGACACGGAGGACUCUUUGCCAUUUCUACCAAUAUCCUUUCACUGCAUUUUUCUUUUCUUCUUUAUUUCCGUUUUCUCCAUGUUUUGUCCUUUGUACUUUAAUCCGUGUUUUACUUCUCUACUUCUAUGUUUGUAGGCUGCAGAUUAUCUCUGUUGAAAUCAACUGAGAGAAAUUAUCUGCCUGAGAGGAUUCUUGUGCUUCAUAUUAUCCCUUCUUUUUAACUAAUCGCUAACCACUCUCAAUCUUCCUUUUCUGGAUCACCGCAACUUUUUCCAUUGAAGUAUACAUCUCACAUUUCAGCAGAAGAUGCAGAACCUAAUGCAUGACAUGGGUUGGGUUGGGAUGGUGUUGCUACAUAGAACGUAAGAAAAGCAGGUGUUGCAGUAUUUGAUCAGAGGGGUUUCUCUUCUUCAGACUUCAUGUCUUAAAUCAAGCAAGAUGCAUUUGGACUACUAUUUGAAGGGACGGAUUAAGUGAUUUAUUGUUAAUAAGUCACGUAACUUUAGUGUCAUCGAAACAUAUUUUAUUCAUUAUUGAAAAAGAUAAUUAAAAAAAUAAUCCAUUGACCAUUUCUUCUUAAGUGUUAA